AGUUUGAUCCUGGCUCAGGAUGAACGCUAGCGGCAGGCUUAAUACAUGCAAGUCGUGGGGCAGCAGGUUUGUAGCAAUACAGAUGCUGGCGGCCGGCAAACGGGUGCGGAACACGUACAGAACCUUCCUUUGAGCGGGGAAUAGCCCAGAGAAAUUUGGAUUAAUACCCCAUAGUAUAAUGAAGUGGCAUCACUUUAUUAUUAAAGAUUUAUCACUCGAAGAUGGCUGUGCGGCUGAUUAGGUAGUUGGCGGGGUAAAGGCCCACCAAGCCUGCGAUCAGUAACUGGUGUGAGAGCACGACCAGUCACACGGGCACUGAGACACGGGCCCGACUCCUACGGGAGGCAGCAGUAAGGAAUAUUGGUCAAUGGAGGCAACUCUGAACCAGCCAUGCCGCGUGGAGGAUGAAGGUCCUCUGGAUUGUAAACUUCUUUUAUAUGGGACGAAAAAGGCUUUUCUAAGUCGUCUGACGGUACCAUAUGAAUAAGCACCGGCUAACUCCGUG
rnacentral:rRNA from 1 species